rnacentral:lncRNA from 1 species
CUGGGAAACAUCAUUUCAAUUGAGUGCCGGCCACUGUGCACUUACAUAAGCCCUAGUGACAUGAUAGAAACCUCUCAGGCCUUUCACCAGAGGCUUGGUUGUGCCUCCCUCAAGCCCUGGGGACCAUUAGGCAGAGGGGAUGAGGAGACCUGAGAGAAAUUCAUUUCAGUAUGUUCCGGGGUUGACCAGAAAUUGGCCUGCUUGCACCCCCAAUUUGAAACCUCCUUGUGCUGAGUGGCUCCAAACUGAGCUCUGGUUCCUGCUCCAUGGUUCCUGAUCCAUUUGAAGUGCCAGCUCCCAGAAUGACAUAUUUUUCUCUCUGACAGUUCUGGGAAAGUCUGGGUAGAUGGAUGGCUAGAGAGUCUAAGACUGCUGAGGGACUGGAGUCAGGGAGUAAGGCUAGCUGGGGAAUGCCUUACCUCCUCCCUUUCUGUAAACCAGCCCUGCUCUAGCGAUGUUUUGGUUAUGAGCCCCCAACCAAUCAUCAGCUGCAAUAGGUGGAGCUAGGCCUAGGUAUUCUGGAAACCACAUCUGAACUGGAAUACUGAACUUCUACCUGUGGUCUCAGCCUCCACUUAAUCCCAUAAUACAGGAACACUGAUCUCGCUAGUGAUUUAGGCAGGCUUCCUUGGUGUAGGAAAGACAUUACAGACAGAAAGAAUGCCUUGUGUGAAGACUCACAGACAGGACGGCUUGAUGGGGGAUUCUGGAAUGAUGAACUUCCCUGAAACAAGCAGUCUGUAGUGUCAAGCAAUAAGGAAUGAAGAUGGUGAGGGAGUUAUAAGAAGAGGGCAGGGGGAAGAGGGGCCUUGAAGGCCAUGGUUAGCUAAUUGUAUUUUCCAUAUGAGCAAUUGGGUAGGGAAUUGAGAAAAUGGGGAAUUAGGUAGGUCCUUGAGCAUGAGAGUGGCCUAGUAAAAAUGAUAUUGGGAGAAAAUAAUUCUCCCAGCUGUGUCUGCUCUAGAGUAGAUCUCAGGUGGCUUGGGGAUCCUGGCAUGAUCCCAAACCCAUCUGUCCCUCUUACUCUUUUGGCCUCAAGUAGUCCUCAGCUCUCCUGAGCCCUUCAAACCGGGGCUAAUGAGGGGGAACAGAGCUUGGGCUGGACCCAAGGUAUUAUAGUAUAGUACA